UUGGUGUGAAUUGCAGAAUUCAGUGAAUCAUCGAAUCUUUGAACGCACCUUGCGCUCCUUGGUAUUCCGAGGAGCAUGCCUGUUUGAGUGUCAUGGUAUUCUCAACCCACACAUCCUUGUGAUGUUCGUAGGGCUUGGACUUGGAGGCUUGCUGGCCGUCGCGGUCGGCUCCUCUUGAAUGCAUUAGCUUGGUUCCUUGCGGAUCGGCUCUCAGUGUGAUAAUUGUCUACGCUGUGACCGUGAAGCGUUUGGCGAGCUUCUAACCGUCCUGCUAGGGACAAACUUACUUGACAUCUGACCUCAAAUCAGGUAGGACUACCCGCUGAACUUAAGCAUAUCAA
rnacentral:rRNA from 1 species